GGCCUCUGAUGAGGUCUUUCAGUAGCAGUGGUAGGAGGAGGCCUCUGAUGAGGUCUGUCAGUAGCAGUGGUAGGAGGAGGGCUCUGAUGAGGUCUGUCAGUAGCAGUGGUAGGAGGAGGGCUCUGAUGAGGUCUGUCAGUAGCAGUGGUAGGAGGAGGGCUCUGAUGAGGUCUGUCAGUAGCAGUGGUAGGAGGAGGGCUCUGAUGAGGUCUGUCAGUAGCAGUGGGAGGAGGAGGGCUCUGAUGAGGUCUGUCAGUAGCAGUGGGAGGAAGAGGGCUCUGAUGAGGUCUGUCAGUAGCAGUGGUAGGAGGAGGGCUCUGAUGAGGUCUGUCAGUAGCAGUGGUAGGAGGAGGGCUCUGAUGCUGAUGAGGUCUGUCAGUAGCAGUGGUAGGACGAGGGCUCUGAUGAGGUCUGUCAUUAGCAGUGGUAGGAUCGUUCACUGUGUGACUGUGUGUUUUGCUGCUAUUCUCUGUG